GAGCAUAAUUAAGUAGAAGAGUGCUCAGCCCCAAAAGCUGUGUGAAGUCAUGUUUGAGCUGUUACUGUCGUUCUAGCAGGCUCUAGGAAAUGGGAAUCUCAAAGUCUCAACAGGUUCCUUACUUCAGUUUUGAAUAAAUUCUGAAUGUGUCCCACAGAUUUUUUUGCUAAAUCUACAUUAGAUCCUGGCUCAAGUUCGAAUGGUCUUCAUAUCACUCUUCCCUUAAAAACUUAGUUUCCUCCAGGUUUCAUGUGUAUUGAAAUCCCUACCUGGAUCUUGUAGAGAGUAUCAAUUUGGAGUCAAAACACUGAGGAAUCGUUGGAUCUUGUAGAGAGUAUCAAUUUGGAGUCAAAACACUGAGGAAUCGUUUUUAUGUUUCUCAACUUCAGUUCUCGGAGUGCCCAUUUUGUGGAGUAAGACCUUGGUUGUAAUGCAGUGAAUGUCAGCAACUGGAUUGUUGUUCCCUGUGUGGUUCCAUGAGACACUCUCUCAGUACCCUUACAGAGGCAUGGAUGACCCUUCUCCACGUGAAAACAAAAUGCAAGGCCAGACUACCUCUGGUGAAUAUUUGGCAAAGCUAAGGAAAAGAUUAAAAAUGAGAAGUGAUCUAAUUGCAUUUUAAGUCUUUUUCAGGAUAAAUCUAUCGAGUGUUGAUACAGUGACAUUGAAAACAGAAUUUCUCUUUGGUGUUUUUAUUUUGUUGGUUUGUUUUUGGGAUUUUUAUUUCCCAAUGGGGGGAACUAGCCUCAGCGACCUCAGGUAGCUCCCACUGACCUUAGAUCCUUCCACUGCCUUCAAAAGAAAUUGGGUUGAGCCCAAGCAGUCUAGAAAUGAAAGAGUGUAUGGAAAAAAAUCAAUUUGCUGACAUAGCAAAGAAUAACAACAAGAGAAGGCUGCUUGGCUGUCUUCUGAAGGGUGGUGUAUGAAGAAUAGAUUCUCUCACUGUUUAAAAAUACACCAUAUUUUUUAGGAACAUAAAACACAGGUCUGAAAUGAGACUUCUGUGGUUUAGUCAGAGGUUUCCUUAGGCUGAACCAUGAUAACUACAGGACACUUGGUCAGAUUAAGGUGAUUUACAGAAGUUGUGGAGAUCUGUCCCACUGUAUCUUUAGGGAAGUUGCUUUAUGUGACUACAGUUCCCCUGUGGCCUGUUUUACCAGCAUAUACAGGCAACAGAGCAGCUGAAAUUUCAUUCACUAGUGUGUUUAUGCUCAGAAACAGCUAGCUAGGCAAUCCAACACCAGUAACUUCAUGCAUCAGUGUUUCUGUUCAUGAUAACAUUCUGUUUCUUUUUUUUUUCCAUAUUUGUUCACUAAAAAUGCUAAUGAUUUUUGCUAAUCUAUUGUCCUCCAAUGAGUGGUAUCUCCUUACAGCAGAAAGGACUGUUAUCUUAUCCUUGUUGAAGGUGAUAUACCUCAAGGGACCCAAAAUUCAUGCAGCUGCUUCAGACCAGCAAUGAGUAAGGAAGCAUCUCCAGAGUGGGAUUUACAGCCUCCUCUGACCACUGUUAAGUACCAAUUCAACAAAUCUAAGCUACAGUCACAGGUAGGAGGCAGCUAGAAGGGCUGGAAGCUGGCUGGAAAAGGCUGAAC
ensembl:lncRNA